CCUACGGGAGACAGCAGUGAGGAAUAUUGGUCAAUGGGCGCGAGCCUGAACCAGCCAAGUAGCGUGAAGGAUGACUGCCCUACGGGUUGUAAACUUCUUUUAUAAAGGAAUAAAGUGCGGCACGUGUGCCUUUUCGUAUGUACCUUAUGAAUAAGGAUCGGCUAACUCCGUGCCAGCAGCCGCGGUAAUACGGAGGAUCCGAGCGUUAUCCGGAUUUAUUGGGUUUAAAGGGUGCGCAGAGGGGUUGUUAAGUCAGCUGUGAAAGUUUGCGGCUCAACCGUAAAAUUGCCGUUGAUACUGGCAGCCUUGAGUAGAGUUGAAGUAGGCGGAAUUCGUGGUGUAGCGGUGAAAUGCAUAGAUAUCGCGAAGAACUCCGAUUGCGAAGGCAGCCUAC
rnacentral:rRNA from 1 species